rnacentral:rRNA from 1 species
GAGAGGUGAAAGGCUAGCUGCCUGAAGAUGAGCUCGCGUCUGAUUAGCUAGUAGGUGUGGUAAAAGCGCACCUAGGCGACGAUCAGUAGCUGGUCUGAGAGGAUGAUCAGCCACACUGGGACUGAGACACGGCCCAGACUCCUACGGGAGGCAGCAGUGGGGAAUUUUCCGCAAUGGGCGAAAGCCUGACGGAGCAAUACCGCGUGAGGGAGGAAGGCUCUUGGGUUGUAAACCUCUUUUCUCAGGGAAGAAAAAAAUGACGGUACCUGAGGAAUAAGCAUCGGCUAACUCCGUGCCAGCAGCCGCGGUAAUACGGAGGAUGCAAGCGUUAUCCGGAAUGAUUGGGCGUAAAGGGUCCGCAGGUGGCUAUGUAAGUCUGCUGUUAAAGAACCUAGCUUAACUAGGUAAAAGCAGUGGAAACUACAAGGCUAGAGUGCGUUCGGGGUAGAGGGAAUUCCUGGUGUAGCGGUGAAAUGCGUAGAUAUCAGGAAGAACACCAGUGGCGAAGGCGCUCUACUAGGCCGCAACUGACACUGAGGGACGAAAGCUAGGGGAGCGAAUGGGAUUAGAUACCCCAGUAGUCCUAGCCGUAAACGAUGGAUACUAGGCGUGGCUUGUAUCGACCCAAGCCGUGCCGGAGCUAACGCGUUAAGUAUCCCGCCUGGGGAGUACGCACGCAAGUGUGAAACUCAAAGGAAUUGACGGGGGCCCGCACAAGCGGUGGAGUAUGUGGUUUAAUUCGAUGCAACGCGAAGAACCUUACCAAGACUUGACAUGUCGCGAA